rnacentral:rRNA from 1 species
UACGAAGGGGGCUAGCGUUGUUCGGAAUUACUGGGCGUAAAGCGCACGUAGGCGGAUAUUUAAGUCAGGGGUGAAAUCCCAGAGCUCAACUCUGGAACUGCCUUUGAUACUGGGUAUCUGGAGUAUGGAAGAGGUGAGUGGAAUUCCGAGUGUAGAGGUGAAAUUCGUAGAUAUUCGGAGGAACACCAGUGGCGGAAGGCGG